AGGAGCCGAAUGAGGUUGGAAACUCUCACGUUCGGUUCUGAACUAGAGGUGAAGAAUAGUGAUAUUCUCAUCGACUACAAC
rnacentral:ncRNA from 1 species